AUUGAACGCUGGCGGAAUGCUUUACACAUGCAAGUCGAACGGUAGAGGGGGCAACCCCUUGAGAGUGGCGAACGGGUGAGUAAUAUAUCGGAACGUGCCCAGUCGUGGGGGAUAACGUAGUGAAAAUUACGCUAAUACCGCAUACGAUCUAAGGAUGAAAGCGGGGGAUCGCAAGACCUCGCGCGAUUGGAGCGGCCGAUAUCAGAUUAGGUAGUUGGUGGGGUAAAGGCCCACCAAGCCAACGAUCUGUAGCUGGUCUGAGAGGACGACCAGCCACACUGGAACUGAGACACGGUCCAGACUCCUACGGGAGGCAGCAGUGGGGAAUUUUGGACAAUGGGCGAAAGCCUGAUCCAGCCAUUCCGCGUGCAGGAUGAAGGCCCUCGGGUUGUAAACUGCUUUUGUACAGAACGAAAAGGUUUCUACUAAUACUAGGAGCUCAUGACGGUACUGUAAGAAUAAGCACCGGCUAACUACGUGCCAGCAGCCGCGGUAAAAC
rnacentral:rRNA from 1 species